UCCGCUGUGGUCGGGUGCAAAAUAGGAAUGAUACAUGCGUCGGUGUACAAAGGCAAUUGAUCUGGGUGCAAGAUAGGGCCUAAAAUGUGACA